CAGUUGCAUAACUAUGACCUCAAUCAAGAUACAGGACAAUUCCAUUACCCCAAAAUGUAAUCACCACAAAUCCACCCUCGCUGUGCACCUUUGUCCUCAAUCCACCCUCAUCCCAACCCCUGGCAACCACUGAUCUAUUUUCUUUCCUUACAGCUUUGCCUUUUCUAGAAUGUCAUAUAAAUGAAUCAAGCAGUAUGUAGCCUUUUCAGUCUUGCUUCAUUCACCCAACAAAAUACAUUUGAGGCCGGGUGUGGUGGCUCACGCCUGUAAUCCCAGCACUUUGGGAGGCGGAGGUGGGCAGAUCACCUGAAGUCAGGAAUUCAAAAACCAGUCUGGCCAACAUGGCAAAACCCCAUCUCUACUAAAAAUACAAAAAUUAGCUGGGUAUGGUGGCACGCAUCUGUAGUCCCAGUGACUCAGGAGGCUGACGCAUGAGAAUCGCUGGAACCCAGGAUGUGGAGGCUGCAGUGAGCCAAGAUUGCACCACUGCACUCCAGCCUGGGAGACAGAGAGAGACCCUGUCUCAAAAAAAAAAAAAAAAAAUUGAGAUUCAUCCACGUUGAUGCUUGCAUCCAGACUUUACUUUCUUGUUUUUCUUUUCUUUUCUUUUUUUUUUAGACAAGGUCUCACUCAUUCUGUUACCUAGGCUGGAAUGCAGUGGGACUACAGGCACACACCAACAUGACUGGCUAAAUUGUUUUUUUUGAGACGAAUUCUCACUCUGUCACCUAGGCUAGAGUGCAGUGGUGUGAUCUUGGCUCACUGCAACCUCCACCUCCCAGGUUCAAGUGAUUCUCCUGCCUCAGCUUCCCGAGUAGCUGGGAUUACAGGUGCACAUCACCAUGCCUGGCUAAUUUUUGUAUUUUUAAUAGAGACAGGGUUUUGCCAUGUUGGCUCGGCUGGUCUCUAACUCCUGACCUCAAGUGGUCCGCCUGCCUCGGCCUCCCAAAGGGAGGGACCCCUGGGAUUACAGGUGUCAGCCACCGUGCCCGACACCACUGGCUAAAUUUUUGUUUGUUUGUUUGUAGAGUCAAGGUUUUGCUAUGUUGCCCAGGCUGGUCUUGAACUCCUGGCUUCAAGAAAUUCUCCCACCUUGGCCUCCCAAUAUGUUGGCAUUAUAGGUGUGAGCCACAGUGCCCCGCCCAAACUUUGUUUCUCUCUAUUGCUGAGCAGUGUUUCAUUGUAUGCUUGUGCCAGAGUUUAAUACUGCUCAUUGGCCAGGCACAGUGGCUCAUGCUUAUAAUGCCAGCACUUUCAGAGGCUGAGGCAGGAGGAUCACUUGAGCCCAGGAGGUCAAGGCUGCAAUGAUCACUUCACUGCACUCCAGCCUGGGUGACACAGCGAGACCCUGUUCCCAAAAAAAUGAAAACCCAAACAAACAACACUGCUUAGUUGCUUUCUGUAAUCAGCCUAUUAACAAAUCAAGGGAGAAUGAGUCUUGGUUACAAAACAGAAUACAAAUGUGAAGGGUUAGAGAACAGAAGCUGGGCAAUACACUUCCUCAUCUUUUUUUGUUUUGUUUUGUUUUGUUUUUUGAGACGGAGUCUUGCACUGUUGCCCAGGCUGGAGUGCAGUGGCGCGAUCUCGGCUCACUGGCCUCAAGUGAUCCUCCCGUCUCAGCCUCCCAAAGUGCUGGGGUUACAGGUGUGAGUCAACACACCCAGCCCUUUGCCUGUCUAUUUCUUUCUUUUUUCUUUUUUUUUUUUUUUUUGAGAUGGAGUCUUGCUCUGUCCCCCAAGCUGGAGUGCAGUGGCAAAAUCUUGGCUCACUGCAGCCUCUGCCUCCCAGGAUCACCUGAGGCCAGGAGUUCGAGACCAGCCUGGCCAACAUGGUAAGACCCCCAUCUCUACUAAAAAUACAAAAAUGAGCCGAGUGUGGUGGCACAUGCCUGUAAUCCCAGCUACUCAGGAGGCUGAGGCACCAGAAUAGCUUGAACUUGGGAGGUGGAGGUUGCAGUAAGCUGAGAUCGUGCCACUGCGCUCCAGCCUGG
rnacentral:lncRNA from 1 species